rnacentral:rRNA from 1 species
UCGAGAAUCUUCCACAAUGGACGAAAGUCUGAUGGAGCGACGCCGCGUGAGUGAUGAAGGCCCUACGGGUUGUAAAACUCUGUCAGGAGAGAAGAAUCGCCGGGAUGCCAAUACCAUCCUGGUUUGACGUUAUCUCCAGAGGAAGCUCCGGCUAACUCCGUGCCAGCAGCCGCGGUAAUACGGGGGGAGCAAGCGUUGUCCGGAAUUAUUGGGCGUAAAGGGCGUGUAGGCGGCUUGGUCAGUCGAAUGUGAAAUCCCACGGCUCAACCGUGGAAUUGCGUUCGAUACUGCCUGGCUUGAGUAUGUGAGAGGCGUGCGGAAUUCCUGGUGUAGCGGUGGAAUGCGUAGAUAUCAGGAAGAACACCGAUGGCGAAGGCAGCACACUGGCGCAAAUACUGACGC